rnacentral:misc_RNA from 1 species
CGAAUUUUUGUUAUCAGUACUAGUCAUGGCGUGGUAUUUUCUCUAUGCCUCUCUUCACCGUGCGCAGGAUUCCAGACCUUCUCCACGCGCGCUCUCUCCUGUCUUCUCCCUCGCGGAUCUCAUCCGCGCAGGGGUAAAUCUUCUCUACCGCCGCUCAAAAAAAAAUCUACCGUUCCUAUCCCCUACGCCUCUACGCCGCCCAGCCGCCCUCUACCGGAUUUUUUUCAUCCGCCGCUCAGAAUCCGAACCGCGCCGCCCUGGGAUUCUUCAAAUAUCCCACCGUGUUCUGCUCCUCUCGCACCCUACGAGCUCCCACGGCACCCUGCGUCUUCUUCCUCGCCGGCGUGAGCUUCAUCCCUGGCUCGCUGCGCGCCCAUCUCUGAUGUCUUCUUCCCCAGCUCGAUCUUUCCUCCACCGGACCGCGCCUCAGCUCCUCCCUGGCACCCAUGGCCGCGCCCCUCAGCUACCUGCUCGCCACCAUCCGGUGCUUCCUCCGGUGGAGCAGAGGGCAACUGUAGACGCGGCAGCCAAAACCACUGUGCAGCCUCCUUCAACCGGACCAAGCACCGCCCGCUUUCCAUGGCCGCGGCGACGUUCUUCUUCUUCCCCGGAUUCCGCGCGCCCUGGAGCUCUUCCCCAUCCCCUCCCCAAGCUCUCUCUGCUCGUCCUGCGCGCGCUCGAAUUUCUUUUCUUCUCCACCGUGCGGCUCUGCUCGCCGUCGUGUGGAGCGCCAACUGAGUCUCUCCCUGUCCCCAGCUCGGACCGUGCGUCCUCGCCUUGCGCCGCGCGCUCUCCUUGUGUUCAUGGCGGCUUCCCCCUGCUGGCAGCCGCGUCUGCUCCGUGCGCACGCACUCAACCUGCUCGCCAUGGUCGCCGCGCGCCGCGCACACUGCUCCCUGGAGCUCGGCCGCGACCUCGCCGUCGCUUGUCAGCUUCAGCGCACAGCUGAACUCCCCUGCCUCCUAUGGCCGAGUGCCCAGCUCCCUUGUUCCCUGAUUUCUGCUCGCCGCAACACCGGUGUGCUGCUGUUCUAGUUCGGAUCUCGCCCAUGGCGUCGAUCUGUUCGUUCUGCCGUCGCUCAGCUCGCAUCCACCUCCUUUGUUGUUAACACCGUGUGCUCGGCUUCUCUGGCGCUGAUCCGUACUCGCCCAUGUCGCCAUCGUAGUGUCGUCACUAGAUAGCUUCGUGUGUCGUCGAGCUUUGCCUUGCUCGUCGUCGUUCGCCGUCGAGCCUCACUGCCAUCACAAAGUUCCCUGCUGUUAGUCUCCGCACCCGUCCUAGACCGUAGUAAAACUCUAGUGUUUGUCACUGAUAUCCGGUCGUCUCCAACCUUUGUUUUGUCGUCGUCAUUCGAUCACCCUGUCUCGAUAUCGGUCCCUACAUGACAUCUCCGACUUAUGUUCACGCCGACAAAAGAAUCAGGUGAAGACGAAGCUAGCCGCGUGAUAUUUACCAAGUGACAGGCGAAAGGCCAGAACAAGAAUCAUCGCUGUUUUUCGGAGUUCUACUUAAUACGAAGAGAAAGUGAAGCUCCGUUCUAUACUCGUCAGCGAGUUGAUCGAAGAUUUUAUUCGGAGACCGUCGACGUUCUCGCAAGCUUUAAGUCGGAUUUAAUGGACGGUAAGUGGCUUCGUUAUUCCAGUCGACUAAAUAUGAUAUUUAUUAAACGGUGAUUUGAUCGGUAGUCGUACAUGUUGCUGAUCCCUUGCGUUAUAAUAGUUAUUACGUUCUAGGUAGUUUGUUUGGGUUAUUAGUUUCGAGUAAUUUAAUAUUAGUACGAUAUUUAACAUGUAAUCGACUGAAAGCAUCUAAGCCCCUGGUUGGUUUUAGUGAUUAAUGACAACGUAAUAUUAUAUGUGACUAACGUGUGUUUUGCAGAGACAAAUGGUAAGUUAGGUCACAUGACAGGUAGAAGUACUACAACGGUGAAAACAAUCCCAGAGAUAAGAACUCGAAGCGACGGCUAAAACGACGGAACAAAAGGUGAAGGUCUAAAGAGUCCGAGUGUCAGGAGAUGUGGACACUCGCGAUUUAGUUAGGUCUUUUAUUCUCUUUUAGCCGUACUAUAAAGAGGGGUUGUCGAUGAGUAGUUUGACCAAGAGAGUUCUAGUGUAGUAUUGGUGCACAAUCACACUCAUAUACAGUGCUAGGUGUCACUCUAGAACUCACACAAAAGUUAGAACGAAAACCGAUUUGAAAAUCAGCUGAAAAACAAGACUUAGAGUUUCUGGCUUUGGGGCACCGGACUGUCCGGUGUGCACCGGACUGUCCGGUGCACCCUCUGCCAGGUGGGCCAGACUGGUCCACGGCAGGGACUCUCCCAGUCGCAGAAACCCGAGAGCG